rnacentral:snoRNA from 1 species
UGUGCUGAUGAUUCAUUAGACUAGAGUCUCUGAUUGUAAUAUGAAGAUCUUCACAGUAAACUGAACA